CCUACGGGCGGCAGCAGUAGGGAAUUUUGCGCAAUGGGCGAAAGCCUGACGCAGCAACGCCGCGUGAUCGAGACGCCCUUCGGGGUGUAAAGAUCUGUCAGUGGGGACGAAACUUGACGGUACCCACAGAGGAAGCACCGGCUAACUCCGUGCCAGCAGCCGCGGUAAUACGGGGGGUGCAAGCGUUGUCCGGAAUCAUUGGGCGUAAAGAGUUCGUAGGCGGCACGUAAAGUCUGGUGUUAAAGGCAGAGGCUCAACUUCUGUACGGCACUGGAUACUUGCGAGCUAGAAUGCGGUAGAGGUAAAGGGAAUUCCUGGUGUAGCGGUGAAAUGCUUAGAUAUACGGAGGAACACCAGUGGCGAAGGCGGAUUGCUGGACAGUAACUGACGCUGAGGCGCGAAAGCGUGGGGAGCAAACAGGAUUAGAUACCCUUGUAGUC
rnacentral:rRNA from 1 species